rnacentral:rRNA from 1 species
UACGUAGGGCGCAAGCGUUAUCCGGAAUUAUUGGGCGUAAAGAGCUCGUAGGCGGUUUGUCGCGUCUGCCGUGAAAGUCCGUGGCUCAACUCCGGAUCUGCGGUGGGUACGGGCAGACUAGAGUGAUGUAGGGGAGACUGGAAUUCCUGGUGUAGCGGUGAAAUGCGCAGAUAUCAGGAGGAACACCGAUGGCGAAGGCAGGUCUCUGGGCAUUAACUGACGCUGAGGAGCGAAAGCAUGGGGAGCGAACAGG